rnacentral:rRNA from 1 species
UGGGGAAUUUUGCACAAUGGGGGAAACCCUGAUGCAGCGACGCCGCGUGAUUUAGAAGGCCUUCGGGUUUUAAAAAUCUUUUCUAUGGGAAGAAAAUGACAGUACCAUAGGAAUAAGGACCGGCUAAUUACGUGCCAGCAGCCGCGGUAAUACGUAAGGUCCGAGCGUUGUCCGGAAUCAUUGGGCGUAAAGGGUACGUAGGCGGGUAAGCAAGUUAGAAGUGAAAUCCUAUAGCUCAACUAUAGUAAGCUUUUAAAACUGCUCAUCUUGAGGUAUGGAAGGGAAAGUGGAAUUCCUAGUGUAGCGGUGAAAUGCGCAGAUAUUAGGAGGAAUACCGGUGGCGAAGGCGACUUUCUGGCCAUAACCUGACGCUGAGGUACGAAAGCGUGGGUAGCAAACAGG